UACAGAGACUGCAAGCGUUAUUCGGAUUCACUGGGCGUAAAGGGUGCGCAGGCGGUUGAGUGUGUCAGAUGUGAAAUCCCGAGGCUCAACCUCGGAACUGCGUCUGAAACUACUCGACUAGAGUACUGGAGAGGGUAACGGAAUUCACGGUGUAGCAGUGAAAUGCGUAGAUAUCGAUGAGGAACACCAGAGGCGAAGGCGGUUACCUGGACAGUUACUGACGCUCAGGCACGAAAGCAUGGGGAGCAAAAGGG
rnacentral:rRNA from 1 species